GGUUCCGCGCCCCGGCUGCUCCCGGGCGGGGCCUCGGGUAACGCCAGCUUUGAAUAGGCGACCUUGCGUACUUAGGGUUCCGUCUCUUCGCAGGCAAGCAUUGAAAGCAGCCCGCAAGCGUCACCGGGCUUGUGUGUGUGGAGUGGCGCCUCGUGAGCAGCCGCGAGGUUUUCUUCCAGGACAGGCCUGGCGAGCCCGUCAGCUGCUGGGGCUGUGGGAGGAAGUGGUGAGAGCAGCUGGGGCAGGGAAGUUAAAUCAGCCCGGUGGAGGUCUGUGCCUAGACGGUACAGCAGCAGGGAACCAACUUUACCCAACAGCACCGGAAAGAUCUAACAGAGGCUGUUUUAAAGAAAUCAGCGUUUAAGGAUGAAAACCAGGCAUUCCCUGAAAAGCAGG